UCCACUCCGGGAGGGGGGCGGGAAUUAUCACACGGGCGGGAACCCAAGUGUUCCUUUCAUCGGCAGGCGCUGAGGCCGGGGCAGAGACUUACUCUAAACAGUCAACCUACCGAGUUUGCGCGCGCUGUCCCUGAGCAUCUCACACCAUGGCAGUUCCUGAAACCCGUCCCAACCACACUAUUUAUAUCAACAAUCUCAAUGAGAAGAUCAAGAAGGAUGAGCUGAAGAAGUCCCUGUAUGCCAUCUUCUCCCAGUUUGGCCAGAUCCUGGAUAUCCUGGUGUCUCGGAGCCUGAAGAUGAGGGGCCAGGCCUUUGUCAUUUUCAAGGAGGUCAGCAGCGCCACUAAUGCCUUGCGUUCCAUGCAAGGUUUCCCCUUCUACGACAAGCCCAUGCGCAUCCAGUACGCCAAGACUGACUCAGACAUCAUUGCCAAGAUGAAGGGUACCUUUGUGGAGAGGGACCGCAAACGAGAGAAGAGGAAACCCAAGAGUCAGGAGACGCCAGCUGCCAAAAAGGCUGUUCAGGGUGGGGCAGCUGCCCCCGUGGUGGGCGCUGUCCAGCCUGUACCGGGUAUGCCACCGAUGACUCAGGCACCCCGCAUUAUGCACCACAUGCCAGGCCAGCCUCCUUACAUGCCACCACCUGGCAUGAUCCCACCACCGGGCCUUGCUCCUGGCCAGAUCCCCCCUGGGGCCAUGCCCCCACAGCAGCUCAUGCCUGGACAGAUGCCGCCUGCUCAGCCUCUCUCCGAGAAUCCACCCAAUCACAUCCUGUUCCUCACCAACCUGCCUGAGGAGACCAACGAGCUCAUGCUGUCCAUGCUUUUCAAUCAGUUCCCUGGCUUCAAGGAGGUGCGUCUGGUUCCUGGGCGGCACGACAUCGCCUUUGUGGAGUUUGACAACGAAGUGCAGGCUGGGGCAGCACGAGAUGCCCUGCAAGGCUUUAAGAUCACGCAGAACAAUGCCAUGAAGAUCUCGUUUGCCAAGAAGUAGCGCCUUCCCCCAUGGGGCAUCUCAGUCCCCAUUCUGGGGCUGCCCUUUCCCUCCCCUUUGGCUCAGUCCUUGAAGUUUGGAUCUCAUGGCCUCUGCGAGUUUACAAUCUUGGAAAACACACAGGAGUAUAACAGUAUUAACCACACUUAAGGUACAUUGACAGCUUUGGCAGGGUGUUUUGUUGUUGUUUGUUUGUUUGUUUGUUUUGUCUCAAGUCAUCUAGGGCAGAAACAAGACCCCCGUGUACAUUUGGGCAAGUUGUGUUCUACACAAGGAUAGUCCUGCUUUGGAAGGGCACAUCAGAAGCCUGCUUCUGCUUCUGCACUCUCAUUAAAGAGGAAUAGCUCAGUGAAGACUGUCCCCAUAGCAUUUGAAGGAGGACAAAGCUGGUGCUUGCGUCACUUAGGGACUCCCAUGUUACUGCAGAAGGUUGAGUGGAAACAUCUCUCUCUCCACAUUGGCCUGGUGACUGUGACAUGUGGGUUCAGCCUAUCUGGUUUGCAGUUUGGGACCUCCCUAGUUGGCACUCAGUGGGCAGUUAGUGUCCCCACUGUGAGCUUUGUUUUCUCUCUUUGUGAAAAGGACUCCUGUUACUGCCAUGGUCAGUAGUGGUCCUAUUUGUUCCUAUAAACACCACCAGGCUCUUAGCCAGCAAUCAGAAGACUCAGCUGAAGAAAACUUGGAAGCGAAAAUCAAAGCUGCUAGACAGCCUGUGGUCCUAGUACCCAGAAGGCUGAGACCGGGAUUGCCCUGAGUUCCCUGGCAGCCUGAGCUGCUGUGGUGGGGGCCGUAGAGCUGAGAACAGUUAGGAUGAUGGGGUGGAGAUGUUAGUGGUGCUGGGUUUGUAGAGGUGUUCAGUUUCAUCUCUGCCCCUGAUAAACUCCUCCCUGACUCUAAGCCAGAGUGAUUAUUCUCUGCCUGCCAUGGGAUUCUCUGCCUGGCAGUUCAGAGGUCAAGGUACACUGAGUCACUUGCUCUGAUCUUGACAAGUGACUGAACUCUGGAGCCAAGGCAGAAAAUGGAAAUCAAAGCACAGCAGUGUAGAGUUGCCAGUAAGGCCCGAAGCACCCGGAGCCACCGGAAUAGUGGUCAGUGCAUUUCUGGAGGCAGUGCAAAGAUCCUGAGGUGGGAAGGGGAGGUUCUACCUCACCGACCGAGUGCAGUGUGCUCCUGAGUGUAGUGAGGGAGAGGAAUACAGGGUGGGCAGUGAAGCUGCUGUGGUCACAUGGGUUUGUGAAGUUUGUGUGUGGUUAGGUUAGUCCCGGUCUUCUAACAUGGCUGUGGUGUCUGUGCUUUUUAAAUCUGCUUGUGUGUUUGAACUGGUGACCUGCUUCAGAAGCAAAACCUCCGCCCGAGUCUACAGGACUUUUUCCCCGUCUUCAUUUUUUAAGAUGGGGCUGGGGUGGGGUAUCAGGCCCCGCACCUAACCCCAAUUCACUGUUGUAGCCUGCACCUUCCCAAUGCUUAUAAGCAUCUCCCAUCACAUCUAGCCUCUUCUAUUUCAACUCAACUGAGCAUUGAUCACAUGUAACACCUGGAACUUUGGCAGUUGAGGUGUGAUGGUAAACUAGCAACUUCUUUUCUUUUCACAAGGUCACAGAAUCCAUUAUUUCCAUAGGGUUUUGUUUUUG